UACGUAGGGUCCGAGCGUUGUCCGGAAUUACUGGGCGUAAAGAGCUCGUAGGUGGUUUGUCGCGUUGUUCGUGAAAACUCACAGCUUAACUGUGGGCGUGCGGGCGAUACGGGCAGACUGGAGUACUGCAGGGGAGACUGGAAUUCCUGGUUUAGCGGUGGAAUGCGCAGAUAUCAGGAGGAACACCGGUGGCGAAGGCAGCUCUCUGGGUCCCUACCGACGCUGGGGUGCGAAAGCAUGGGGAGCGAACAGG
rnacentral:rRNA from 1 species